AUUCCCUCUAUAAACCAAAAUCUUUACUAAACUCCGCCAACAACCACCACCGCCAACGCAGAGGAAGGCACCCCAUCAAUCAGCCGGAAUACGACGAACUUCUCGACUCGAAUCAUCCAAAAGUUGCGAAACAAGAGCAACGGCGCAGAACCCAUGGACUUGUCCUCGUGGUUACGACGCGGCCUUUCAAGCGCAAGCACAAAGACCAAAAACCCAAAUCUCCCAAACCAAUCACACCCAGACCCACAACAAGAAGAAGAAGAGGAACUAUUCGGAGUCACAGAGCAACUCAUUGAGUUCGUCAAGUCCUUCACUUUUGACACCUUCAAUAAUUUCCCUUUCCAAGAUGAUGAGGGAGCUGAUGUAACCCCAUCAACUUCAGGCAAUGUCCGGAAGGAUCUUUCCGAAUGGCAAGAGCAGCAUGCUCUUCUUGUGAUCACAAAAGUUAAGGAAAUUUCCCAACUUAGAUAUAUGCUAUGCCCUCGUCGCUUGAAGGAACGUCAGUUUUGGAGAAUAUAUUUUAAGCUUGUCAAGAGCUACGUGAUUGAAUAUGAGCUGCGUGCAGUUCAACUAGCGAAACUGAAAAGUAUGGCAAUGGAGAAUGAGAAAUCUUCAGACACCAGUGUAUAUGAAGUUGAAAUGGCGGAGGCAAAGUACACAGAGAGCUUAAUGCCUCCCACUCCAUAGAUUACAAUGCAUUUUCUCUUCAGCAAAAGUAGGAACGCAGCAGAUGAUCUGACCAUAACUAGAGUAGAGGGAAACUAGUGAAGAUUUUAAAUUGCAAAGCUUUUGGAUCCUGAAGGAAACCUCAAAGAUGGCUUUUAUGGGCUGGCUUGAUCACGUUUUGUAAGCUGUGAGGACCGGGCUUUGAACGCACUCUCCCAAUCUAUGAUUAAUGUGAGGUACUAGGCUUUCCAAUAUACGGUUGGAGUAUUGUUAUGAGUACUAUAACUUUUAUUACAAGUGCCUUACAAGCUAAUGUGACAAUUUACGUAACACAGAUACAUUGCAUGUACCGUAUGUACAAAAACCCCAUUCCUCAUAAUAAAAUGUGUCACGUCAGUUCGAGAGUAAGUCCAAAUAUUUUUCAUAUGGUUUUAAAACGUGCAUUCCAAUUAUAUUGGACUAUACUUAAACACAAAUAUUCUUCAAACUAUCACGUAUAUCUUGUUAGAAUUGUAAUUAAAUGAUUAAAUUCAUCACUUUGUAUUAGCUUAAGCUUUUGGGAUAAGUGGUGAUUUAAUAUGGUAUCAAAGUUAGAGGUCAUGAGCUCGAACCCUGACUUCACAAAUAUUCAACGUGUUAGGCCUCACUUGUUGAGGGAAGUUUGAAUCCACACGUGAGAAGAAGUGUUAAAAUAUUAAUUAAAUUAUUAAAUUCUUCAAUUUCUAUUAGCUUAAGCUUUUGAGAUAAAUGGUAUUUAAAUUUGGUAUCAAAUUCAAAGUCUUAAGUUUGAACAUUGUUUCCAUAUAAUAUUUCCGGUCUUGAGCUUUUAGGACAAGUAGUAUUUAAUAUUAAUCAUGAAAUGACUGAUAAGGUAUUUUCCGACUAUGAAGUAUGAACACAUCAUUGUGAGAGAAAAGAUAGGGAUUGAACUGUUAUUGCUGUAAAAUAAACAGAUCUAUUAGGUUUCAUUUGAUUUGUUCAUACUUAGAAACUGUUGUUUUACAAUGAGAAUAUGAGAUGCACAAAGUUAGAAUUUUCUUUUGCAGCAUGGCUGAGAGUGAAGAACAAGGGUUAGGCUUCUUUCUCAUUCCCAAAGGAAUAGGGAUGGGCCUAAGGCUCCUGGCCCCCACAAACGUAUUUAUUGAUAUUAAUAAUUUUUUUUUUUUUAUUUAUUUAUUUUUAUUUUAGUAAGAUGAGAAUUAGAGGAUUAUAAAUGGUGGGUCUUUUCUGCUGCGAAGCCUUGAGUCAAGGCGAGGAGGGGCAGGACAUUUUUCCUCUUAAAUACCAUGAGAGAAAGGUAAAUGCCAACUUCAACCCACCUCUUUUGUCCAUUUUCUCUUAA